rnacentral:rRNA from 1 species
CACUAUGCUUAGCCUUAAACCUAAAUAAUUUUAUAACAAAAUUAUUCGCCAGAGAACUACAAGCCAGAGCUUAAAACUCAAAGGACUUGGCGGUGCUUUAUACCCGCCUAGAGGAGCCUGUUCUAUAAUCGAUAAACCCCGAUAAACCUUACCACUCUUUGCCAACUCAGCCUAUAUACCGCCAUCUUCAGCAAACCCUAAAAAGGAGCAAAAGUAAGCUCAAUCAUCACCAUAAAAACGUUAGGUCAAGGUGUAGCCUAUAGAGUGGAAAGCAAUGGGCUACAUUUUCUACUUUAGAAUACACGAAAGCCCCUAUGAAACUCUAGAGACCAAAGGAGGAUUUAGCAGUAAAUUAAGAAUAGAGUGCUUAAUUGAACGAGGCCAUGAAGCACGC